rnacentral:sRNA from 1 species
CACACAUGGGUGCGGCAGCAAUCCUGCCAUCCGGUGUUGUUUUUUGGCAGUCGCGCUGCGCUAACGCAACCGCUCCUGCUACAGCAGAAAACAGCUCUCACCCAUGGAGGUUUAACCGGUAAAAGGAGAUUGGC